GAGGGAGCGGCAGACGGGUGAGUAACGCGUGGGAAUCUACCUAUCUCUAGGGAAUAACUCAGGGAAACUUGUGCUAAUACCCUAUACGUCCGUAAGGAGAAAGAUUUAUCGGAGAUAGAUGAGCCCGCGUUGGAUUAGCUAGUUGGUGGGGUAAAGGCCUACCAAGGCGACGAUCCAUAGCUGGUCUGAGAGGAUGAUCAGCCACACUGGGACUGAGACACGGCCCAGACUCCUACGGGAGGCAGCAGUGGGGAAUAUUGGACAAUGGGCGCAAGCCUGAUCCAGCCAUGCCGCGUGAGUGAUGAAGGCCCUAGGGUUGUAAAGCUCUUUCACCGGUGAAGAUAAUGACGGUAACCGGAGAAGAAGCCCCGGCUAACUUCGUGCCAGCAGCCGCGGUAAUACGAAGGGGGCUAGCGUUGUUCGGAUUUACUGGGCGUAAAGCGCACGUAGGCGGAUUGGUCAGUUAGGGGUGAAAUCCCAGGGCUUAACCCUGGAACUGCCUUUAAUACUGCCAGUCUUGAGUAUGGAAGAGGUGAGUGGAAUUGCGAGUGUAGAGGUGAAAUUCGUAGAUAUUCGCAGGAACACCAGUGGCGAAGGCGGCUCACUGGUCCAUUACUGAC
rnacentral:rRNA from 2 species